rnacentral:lncRNA from 1 species
ACUUUUCCUAGAACUACUCUAGUUCUAUGCUUGCUCAGUGCUCUUUACUUCUUGAGCCAGCCACGCCUAAAAUGGUAUAAUCGGACUAAGAGGUUUUAGUCUUAGAGCAUGUUUGGAUGCAUAGUUAAAAAACUCCACAAAAUUUUUAUCCUGUAGUUUUGGUCUAAAUGAAUUACGGAUUUCUGUAACUAUAAAAAAAAUUCCGCAGUAUCAUUUUUAAGCUGUUUGGAUACAUAUCAUACAAUUCAACAAAAUUUAUAACAAUUAAAUUUCUAAAAUUUUAAAAUUCAAAAUUCAAAAUUCAAAAUUCAAAAUUUAAAAAUAAACUUUUAAAAAUUAAAAUUCAAAAUUCAAAACAUAAAAUUAAAAUUUAAAAUUUAAAAUUUAAAAAUUAAAUUAGAUUUUAUGUUUUAAAUUUGAAAUUUGAAAUUUGGAAUUUGAAAUUUAAAAUUUGAAAUUN